rnacentral:rRNA from 1 species
GAUGAACGCUGGCGGCGUGCCUAAUACAUGCAAGUCGAGCGAACGGACGAGAAGCUUGCUUCUCUGAUGUUAGCGGCGGACGGGUGAGUAACACGUGGAUAACCUACCUAUAAGACUGGGAUAACUUCGGGAAACCGGAGCUAACACCGGAUGAUAUUUUGAACCGCAUGGUUCAAAAGUGAAAGACGGUCUUGCUGUCACUUAUAGAUGGAUCCGCGCUGCAUUAGCUAGUUGGUAAGGUAACGGCUUACCAAGGCAACGAUGCAUAGCCGACCUGAGAGGGUGAUCGGCCACACUGGAACUGAGACACGGUCCAGACUCCUACGGGAGGCAGCAGUAGGGAAUCUUCCGCAAUGGGCGAAAGCCUGACGGAGCAACGCCGCGUGAGUGAUGAAGGUCUUCGGAUCGUAAAACUCUGUUAUUAGGGAAGAACAUAUGUGUAAGUAACUGUGCACAUCUUGACGGUACCUAAUCAGAAAGCCACGGCUAACUACGUG